rnacentral:rRNA from 1 species
UACGUAGGGGGCAAGCGUUAUCCGGAUUUACUGGGUGUAAAGGGAGCGCAGACGGCCAAGCAAGUCUGAAGUGAAAUGCAUGGGCUCAACCCAUGAAUUGCUUUGGAAACUGUUUGGCUUGAGUGUCGGAGGGGUAAGCGGAAUUCCCAGUGUAGCGGUGAAAUGCGUAGAUAUUGGGAGGAACACCGGCGGCGAAGGCGGCUUACUGGACGACAACUGACGUUGAGGCUCGAAGGCGUGGGUAGCAAACAGG